AUUGAACGCUGGCGGCAUGCUUUACACAUGCAAGUCGGACGAGUGGCGAACGGGUGAGUAAUAUAUUGGAACGUACCUAGUAAUGGGGGAUAACCACUGGAAAGAUUGGCUAAUACCGCAUACUAUUCGAGCUGCCCAUAUCUGAUUAGCUAGUGGGUGGGGUAAAGGCCGACCAAGGCGACGAUCCGUAGCGGGUCUGAGAGGAUGAUCCUCAACACUGGGACUGAGACACGGUCCCGACUCCUACGUGAGGCAGCAGUGGGUGAUUUUGGACAAUUGGCGCAAGCCUGAUCCAGCCAUGCCGCGGGUCUGAAGAAGGCCUUCGGGUUGUAAAGGACUUUUGUUAGGGAAGCGUUACCUGCAGAAGAAGCACCGGCUAACUACGUGCCAGCAGCCGCGGUAAUUC
rnacentral:rRNA from 1 species